rnacentral:rRNA from 1 species
CCCUUAGAUGUUCUGGGCCGCACGCGCGCUACACUGAUGCAUUCAACGAGCCUAUCCUUGACCGACAGGUCCGGGUAAUCUUUGAAUCUGCAUCGUGACGGGGAUAGAUUAUUGCAAUUAUUAAUCUUGAACGAGGAAUUCCUAGUAAACGCAAAUCAUCAAUUUGCAUUGAUUACGUCCCUGCCCUUUGUACACACCGCCCGUCGCACCUACCGAUUGAAUGGUCCGGUGAAAUCUCGGGAUUGUGGCCAGUUCACUUUAUUGGGAGUUGGCUGCGAGAACUUGCUUAAACCUUAUCAUUUAGAGGAAGGUGAAGUCGUAACA